rnacentral:rRNA from 1 species
GAUGAACGCUGGCGGCGUGCUUAACACAUGCAAGUCGAACGAAGCAUUUGCGACAGAUUUUUUCGGAAUGAAGUUGCUUAUGACUGAGUGGCGGACGGGUGAGUAACGCGUGGGUAACCUGCCUUGUACUGGGGGAUAGCAGCUGGAAACGGCUGGUAAUACCGCAUAAGCGCACAAUGUUGCAUGACAUGGUGUGAAAAACUCCGGUGGUAUAAGAUGGACCCGCGUCUGAUUAGUUAGUUGGUGAGAUAACAGCCCACCAAGGCGACGAUCAGUAGCCGACCUGAGAGGGUGACCGGCCACAUUGGGACUGAGACACGGCCCAGACUCCUACGGGAGGCAGCAGUGGGGAAUAUUGCACAAUGGAGGAAACUCUGAUGCAGCGACGCCGCGUGAGUGAAGAAGUAAUUCGUUAUGUAAAGCUCUAUCAGCAGGGAAGAUAGUGACGGUACCUGACUAAGAAGCUCCGGCUAAAUACGUG